AAACUAACCAUGUACUAGGCUAUAGGAUUAAUUUGAAUAAAGACUCCCAGAAAUUAUUUGAAAAUUAUGCACUCCCAGAUAUAUAGUUUUUUAUUCUGCCAAUAGGAGUGUCUUCACAUGAGACAGAAGAUUUACCAAAGCUACUUCUCCUGUUUGCAAGGGGAUUAAAGCAUGCUUCACACUAGUGUGUGCUCCCCUGCUAGGUAGAAAUGUGUGUGUGUGUGUGUUUCUGUGUGUGUCCCUCUCUACUUUUCCAUACGCACCAUUACACAGCACAAGGUGGUGCUGUGGUAUAGAGUGGGAUUGUGAAACUGCACUAGGCUUCUCUAGAGAUAAUGGUGCCAUGGAAGGAAAGGAACAGUCUUUCCUUGCUUUUUUAAAAAAUGUUGUAAAAAUGCUUGGAAAACUCAGGAGAAGACCUAGAGGAGGAGGAGGAGACCAUGAAAAGGUCCUGAAAAUUUCUGUGAAUGAGAGAUCAUGAGCGUACAUUAAAGCUCCAGCUUUAGCACUGUGGUGUCGUUCAUGCAAAAUGACAAUUCUAUGAACGAUUACUUCCAAAGUCAUAUUAAAAUACUUUACAAUGUGUACGUAUUGUUUUAGCAGCCAUCUGAUGAACAAGAGGCAAAUGCCUGCAAAAUCUUAUGCUUUAUUUAGACCUUCUGAAUAAGUAACAUCUGUUCCGGCUGAUGGAAAAUAUCCUUUUGGUCACCGAGGGAUCGCAGUCAUGUUACCCCUGGAAAGGUCUGUGUGAAUCAACAGUCAGAUAGACUCAUCACUCUGCACCUAAUAGAUAUAUACCAAAAUGAAGCCAAGGCAUUCCUGUCCAAAGUGGGAGGUAACAACAUGCUCUCCCGUGGAUGACAGAAUCAGACAGCUUGGGAAAAAGAGUAAGAGAAAGAAAAGCAAAGCUUCUAUAGUUUCUUGCUGUUGGGAAUGCCUGCCUGCCACCACCCAAUCCAGAUGUAAGCACUGUUUAUCAUUAGUUCAAAUGUGAUCAUUGCUUUCUUAUAUAUUACAGCUUUACAAAUGAUGAGUAAAACAGAAGGCUUAUCCAAAAUGUGUUGGAUAGUUUUAGGCACUUCCCGCUUAGCUUUAAAACAGAGCUGGAUUUAUUUAGUAGAUGCAUCACUGGAUGAGCUUUUAAUCUGAAGCAUCAGUAGCUUCCAUAAAAAAGAACAGAUGGGAAGCUUCACUCUUAAUGUUCAGGAUUGUUUGUUUUUAUUCUUCACUUAAGUGUCAGGAUUGGCCAAAAGCAGAGGGAGAAAAGGAUGGGGCCAUUGCAACAGAAUAGGAUAAUAAAGAGAUCCUGCCUCUAAUACAGGAUUUCAGGUUCAGAGAGAAAAGAGUAAACUGAAGUUAUAACAGGUAAUAGCAAGGAUUUGAUUAUUUAAUUUUUGCCACUCCACUGCAUUUGCUUUGCUGGCACCUUCCUCCUCCUCUGCCUAACAAGCAUAUUUUUGCAACAGGCCACCCGUCAUCAUUCAAUAGCGCUCAGGUGAUGCAUGACAUAAAAUCCCAUGCAGCAAAUAUUAAUAGCACAAUCCUAUGGCCUUCCACCAUCAUCAUCAUUGGAGUCCAAGCUACUUUCCCCUCUCUCACAGCUGGCUGUCCCCCAUGAGACACAGCUGGACCUCCAAGGGGAAAAGGAGGCAUGCUGGGGGUAAGGUGGGCUGGGCAGGGCCAUUGUAUUUCUAUCCAGAGGGCCAUGUAAAUAAAAUGCAGGGUACAGAGACAUGGCAGCAUAGCAUUGGGUGCUCAUAAGCCCCCCUUUCAUCUGCUGCAGGGGCAACAGUAAAAGUAUCAGCUUCUAUGUGCCUUCCAUGUGCUUGAGUAGUAUUGCAACAUUCCAAUGAACACCUGAAAAGGUCUACUCAGCAGGUGGGAUAGGUAGAAGGAUUUAUAAGGUCUUAUAGCACUGGCAGGAUGUGGAGGAUAGAAAAGCCUCAGCUUUGGUCAUUCCUUAUUCAUGAUUGUCUGUGGAGUCUUUGCGUGAUGUGGCAAUGCUUCAGCUUUGUUUGCGUGUCUAAGCCACAUUUUUUUCAAAGCAUGGGAAAUGCUGCAUUUCAUUGUGAAAGCAAAAGAAAGCAUGCUAUUGUGUUUUAUUUCGCUAUAGCACUCCUAGAGGUUAUAUAGUAGAAAACCAUUAAAGGAAAUGCUCUUCAUGUAAUGCUUGGAACUCAGUUCUGUGACAAACUCGGUUCACUGCUGAUUAACAGCUUUGCAAAGAAACACUCAUCUGCCAAGAAUAUUGUCUGCAGCAGCCCACCAGAUGUUUAAUUCAACUCCCUCUAUCCCAGCCAACAUGGCUAAUGAUCAGGAAUGCUGGAAAACUGAAGGGUACCAGAUUGGGAAAAACCUUUCUAUAUAAAUACCAAGUCAUGAACAUAUGAAUUAUUAUUCCCUGGAUCCAUAGUCCUCAAAAUAUGAAUUAACGCACCUUUAGGAUAUAGAAACAGUUAAAGAACCUCUCUACUCCCCAGAGUGGAUCAGUGGUAAUGCAGUGGUGGAGGAUGUGCUUUGUAGGAUAACACCCCUGAUUCCAUCACCAAACUAUGGUUGACAGGAUAUCAGGUGGAGCAGCCGUCAGGGGUUUUCUGUGAAACUCUGAAUUGCUGCUGCAAGAUAGGAAAGAGCAGGAGAAGGCAAUCCAGUGUCUUCAAGAUUUUUGGACUACAGCUCCCACAACUGAGCAUUGACCAUGCUGGCUAGGUCUUAUGGGCAUGGUAGCCCAAAACAUAUGAAGGACACCAAGUUACCUAUCCCUGGUGUUAACCCUCCUGGGUUUAGUGAAGCAUUAUUUUGAGAGUAUGCAAUAUUUAUUUAUUUUAUUUAGCAGGUAACUGACAGAUGCAAGGAACCUUGCUAUAUACUUGAAUGUUUCCAACCUGAAAGCAAGAGAGGAUUGCGUACAGAUGAUAUCAUUGCAGAACUUCGGAGCUAGUACUGAAAUGCUAUCAUAGCCUAUGGGACAGAAGUUCAAUUUUUGUCUCCUUCCAUGGCCUUUGGUCAAACCAGCUUUAUAGGUUUUUUUGUCAUGUUCUUCAACCUAGUGCAUUAAACUUCUGGACUUCUUCUUCCUCUCUGAAUGAGGAGAAUGAGCAUCUUCAGCCAAGCAGGUUUUUUCCCCCUGCCCUCCCAUAAAUCAAAGCAGUGACCAUAUCAUGUACUUAACAGCAAAACCAUGUAGAGUAUAAGUCUGUCUGAAUAAGUAUUGUUCUUCCAUAUUUACCAGUCUAUAACAGCAGUAAGACAACAGCUAACUUUACAAUGAGAGAGCAAUAUAAAAUUAUGCCACUGUCAUUUUCUCUAUUCUUUUCUCUGUAAAUAUACUCUGCCAAUUUUCUUUUUCUUCCCACAUGGCACACAUCUGAUCAGAACACAUAAUAAUGUGUUUGUUAUUACGUGUGAGCUGCUCUGAGCUGUCUCAAGAAAGAAAAGAAUAGAAGAAGUAGUUGUAGUCAUAAUAAAGAUAACAGAUUUCAACUGUUCUAAGAGCUUCACAUACAUUAUUUUAGAAAUCCUGACAUGCACUGGAUAAUGCAAACAGAAUGUUGCUAGAUCAGGUUUUUACAUUUUGAUAGCUCAAUUAUAUGGUUGAAAUUAAAAGGACAUAUAAGCAUGCUCUAUGAAGGAUGCAAUGUUUCCUAGGAAGAGGACUGUGCAUUAGGGUUACUUGUGUGCAUGGUGAGGACAUUUUCACCUUCCAAGUUUAAAGGGGCUUCAACUGGGCUUAUAAAGGCAAUCUAAAUCUGUAUGGUUUAUUUGUACCAAAGGCUUCUCCUUUUCUGCCUUUCCUUUUGGAAGAACUUAAUGUAAAGAUCAUCAAAGAAGACUAUUAUAAGCUUCCAUCCUCAACAUACUUUCAAGCAAGGCUGGGCAACCCUUUUCUAAUAAGGGCUGAAUUACUUCAAGAUGCUUAAGCAGUACUAAGCCUGGCUGGGGGCAGGAACAAAACCAGUAGUGGAUGGAGCCAAUGUCAGUGAUAGGUAGGAUCUUAACCAAAGGUAGGUGGAUCACCCCCUUUUGCUUCUCCUUUCUGAAACCUCCCCUUCUCACUACAUCUGCAAUCUUUUUCUUUCUUGCUUGCUUGUUUCCCAUGUAGCAGGCUGCCAAGGAAGGCAUAAAUUGCUCUUGUUAAUGGCAUGAACUGAUUGCAGGCAAAAUGCCUUUGAAAUUAGGUUGAAAGCCACAUUAGACAGAUGGCCACAGGUUGCCCAUCCUUGCUUUAAAGUCUUGUAAGGGCAAGUUGAUUGCCCUUGCAUUAUCUCUUUUGUGAUACUGUCCUGAUAAAAUAUAUCCCAUUGUCACAUUUUCAUGAAGGUUGUUACUGCAAUCAAAAAGCAAAACUAAAACUAUAUAGGUCUUUGCAACUCCCUCCCUCUGUUCCUCAAGGCAAGGUGCUGAUCGGUGAACACUAAAAAGUAAUAUGAUAAAAGUCCAAGAAGUGAGCAUGUGCUAAUGAGAUGGGUCUAAUAAAAAGGGGAUUGUUUAGAGUAGACAGACUGGAGCUCCAACCCAGCUAUCAGAGACAGGUUUGACAGAAGGCCAUAAAAAGGAAUACCCUGUUUAGCUUGAGCGGGCAUUAAUGUAGCAGCCAGACUUUUUCUAAUGAUCUAUGAAUAACAAAGAAAGAUUGUCUUCCUGACAGAAGUGAGUUACUGUUACCAUUAAAGAUGAUAGCACAAUCGGGAAGCAGAAGUGGCACAGUUCCUCGAAGAUGGAAUACUCAUCCAUCCUGCCAACCAUUAUAUUCUCACAGAAAUGGGAUGGAUAUGAAUUAAAAGCAGACCUAAAGUUAACCUUUCCACACUUCAGACUGACACUUGGACACUAUCACGAGUGUGCCAAAAAAGAGGCAUGUCCGCCUAUAUUAUAUUUCUGGGAGGAAGAGGGAAACGGUGGCUCAUGUAUGGGGAACAUACACACACAAAACAAUGUUUUCUGAAAUGCUGUUGGCCUUAAUCCACCUUCCCUGACUUGGAGCUCUCCAGAGGUGUUGGACUGCCUCAGUCGCAACCUAUUCUGCUAGAGGCUUUCCAUCCCCUCUGGAGAGCAUCCGGCUCCGUAAGGAUGAUCGUAGGGCUGCUUCAGGAUCAGACACACUCUGCUUCUCCCAUAUGCUUGCUGAGUUUGAUCUUAGUGCUAUCUAGAAGCUCCCUGAAAAAUGUCACGCAGAAACAAAACCUCUGUCUUUAUCAGCUUCCUAAUACCCUUCUGCUAGUUUCCUUCCUGCACACUUCCUUUGCCUAUAAUCAUAUCCUGCGUCCAAUCCCUUCUCCCUCAGGAAUGCCUGCUGCCAAGCCGGAUAUCACAGAAGCUACGCACUCCAUACUCCCCAAUUGUUCAGGGGUCACAUGACAGGAGUCUGAGGCUGCCAUCCUAUAUACAUUUACAUGGGAGUCAGCACUGCUGAACUUAAUGGGAUUUACUCCUGAGUAAACUCGUACAGCAUUGCACUAUUACUUUCUCAUCCUUGGUGCAGAGUUUUUGAAUGGAAAAGUGAAGCUUAUCUUACCUGGCUAAGUUUUCUUAAUUCCAGAGAGUCAGUAAAGAUUGUUAAUAUCCCCACUUGCAGAGCAAAUGCAUUUUGCAGAGUUUAAUAAUAUAUAUUUUAAAGGGAAUUAAGCUAUCUGUAUUUUUCCCCUCAGGGUGUAUAUCCUCCCUGUCAUAAAUAUAAAUGUAGCUACUUAAUCCCAGAUGACAAAAUUUCACAUCACUAUCUUUUUCUUCUCUUAAAAUUUAAGGAUUAUAGUGUUACCUUAGCCAUAUUUUGAGUUUAAAAAGAUAUAUAAUCAGAACACUCUCCUGUCGAUAAUACAAAAAGUAUGGAAUGGAAUAGAUUUAUUUUGAGGGCUUUUCCCUCUUUUUUUUAAAAAAAGAAAAGCAGAGAUCUCUGUAAAAAGCCCAGCUUUUAAAAGUUUUAUUGUUAAAUCAGCCAUUGUUUUUGGCCAAUAAAAUGGAAAAUAUGUGCUUUUAUGGGUUUAUAAAAAGGCAAACUAUGGUUGCAUGAAAAAUAACUUUCACCGAUUGAGUACAGGUGGAGACUUGUUUAAACUCCUAAGACAUAAAGGCUUAGUAUGUAUGACUGAAAAAGGUAACAUGGCACAAUAAAAAGUCUUCCUUUCUUCAGUCAUCAAUCCACCGGGUAUUCCAUGUCAAAUAAACGCUACAACAAUUUACAGUAAAAGUACACAGUGGAAGUGCCAACGUUAACACUUCUUAGGUUUGGAGGGCGUCCAGAUUUUUCACGCCAAUAUUUAACACGGACUGAAAUGUCUUUUCCAUUGGAAGUGUCAGCUGUAACAUGCUUUGCUAUAUUUGGCAACAUGUGUAUGUGGAGCAUAAAGUCCAACGUGUGUGAUGUUCAUUUUUAUUUCAACCAUGAUAAAUGGUAGUUCAUUUGUUUAAGUGCACAUGGCAGUUUUAGUGUUCCUACUAUAAAUUUUGGCUAACUUCUAUUGACAUGCUGUAUUAAACUUAAGAAAAACAAAUUACACUUCAGCCGUUUUAAUUGACUAAAUGUGUCAAAAACACAAUAAGUAUAACAUUAGAGGUCAAGGCCUUAGACUAUACUAUAAUGGGUGUUGUGGCAAGUGUCCAGACUUUUUUCCCCUCUUUCUUUUUGGUACAUUUCAUUUUUCACAAAUGUUUAGCACAAGGCAGGCAUUUAACAUUUCUGAGUGCUUUGAGUCUGAAACUAGAAUUCUCUUGUAGUCUAUAAUCAGCCUAUUUGAAGUUUUCAUUUCAAAGUGCUAGUCCUGAGUUUUCCUUCUGGCCACCUGUAAACAAACUGUUUAAACAGAUACUUUCAAUUGGAGGAAUGAAAUAAAGAUUUAUGCUACUCAGUGCAAUUGAAAACAGAAACCAUGUUUAGAAGUCAUCUUUCCUUUGCUAAAUACAUGAGCAACUCCAUGGUCCUGAGCCAGAAAAAUCUUGGCAGUACUUCAUUCCUAAGGGACUUUACUGGAGUCUGUCAGUUUUGACUCAUGUCUUUUAUAUUAAGUGCCUGAUAACACACGUCUUCCAGGAUUUUUUAACCUGAUUUGUAUAGAUGAACAAGUGAAAACUAUUACCACAAAACUGAGAUCAGAAUAAAAGGCUUUCCAAAUAAUUCUUUUAGCAUUUAUAUAGCACUUUGGAAUGUUUUAAACAGUCCAGAAUGGUCCAUUCACAACAGUGCUAUUAGGUGGUUCAGUAUUAUUCUCCCAGGUGGGAAUCUGAAAUGCUGGGCUAUUCUACACAAGUUAUUUACUGUGCAUUCAAGAUUCCUCACUUACAGUUAAGGUUUUCUUGGGCACUAUUGUGAUCCUCUCUUGCCUCUACUGGUUCUCAGAGCAUGUUCCCAUUUUGUUUUUAGAAUGGGGAAAAUGGGGAAUUAUUUCUGAGAGUGCUACUUUUAUUUCUGUAUUCGAGCUAUUCUGCUAUAGUAAGCACCGGCUAGAGAUUAUAGAGAGGAAUAAUGGGAAAGGAAAAGCUCUUGGUGUCCACUCAGGUCUCAAUUUUGUAACAAAACUGAAGUUUGCAACUAAUAACUUUGUUUAAAAGAUCUUCGAUUAAUGGUUGAGGCCAUUUAGUGACUUCACAAGAAAGGAGAGAUUAAACCAGGAGAGGAGAAUUACGUGUUCACAGCUCGGUUUCUUAGCUAUUGGCUCCACUGACAGUGCAGUUCCCACACAUGCCUACUCAGAGACAAGCUUCAUUAAGUUCGACAGCACUCGCUCUCAGCUAAGUGUGUUCAGCCUCACUUGCAAAUUUCCUUGUUAGAAAGAGAAUCUUCUUUAUGCUAAUGAAAAUCAUCUGUCUCAUGUGAGGAGGUCUGUACCUUCUUGCUCUUAAAUAAGAACUGUGUCUUGUAUCACAUGUGCUGUAUGCUACAUAAACCCAGAUCUUUAAAAGCCUUCAUGAAAUUGCCAGGAGCCCAUUGAAGUUGACGGGCUUCUUGCCAUUCAGCUGGAUGGAGGCCACAGGAUUUCACCUGACACUUUCAAAGUGCUUUGGGGUGUCAUGAAGAUGCAGUAAGAUUUGAGCCAAAACAUUGCUCAGUACCACUGAGAAAUACGGUUAAAGGGCAUGAUGAGAUAGCUGGUCUUCCCACUGAAACAGGCCUCCAGUACUCAAGCAUUUCAUGAGAAAUGUCAGUGGUGUGGUUAGGAGGUUUCAAGGAAUGACUUGUGAAAAUCCAUUUGCUUCUCCUGAAAGCAAAACCAUGUAGGCAGGUUCCACUCCCAUUUAAGGUGUUAUUUCUGCAUUAUGGUAAAGCCUGAAAGCAGGGCAGAAGGUAUUGUGAACAUUAAUGGCACUCAAAAUAACCUCUGAUUGCUACUGAUUCUGUUACUGGAAAGAUUUUAAAUGCUAUUUUAUAAAUCUAUAAUGAAUUCCUUACAGGAAGAAACCUUUAGAGCUCUGGAUGCUGCACUGCAGCCUUUCCUGACCUGGUAUGGUUCAGAGGUUUUAGCCUUUGACUCUUAUCAACACCAGCCCGCAUGUUCAGGGAUGCUGGAAUGCCACAUUUUGGCAGGGAAGGCUGCCCUGCUGUUUGCCCCAUUUGUGGAAAUGAUGAAGGCAGUUCUGGAUAGGCAGUGGCCCUGUGGGAUGAGGUGGGAAGAUGAGGCUCCACAUCCUGGCGCAUCCACACUUUAAACUUUCUUCUCAAAGCAUCUGGCAUAAUUAUCCAAUUAAAAUCUAGUACAUGUAAACCAAAAGCAGUUUUGUGAUUGACAGAGAGGCUAGCCAGUCAGCAGUGUUAACAGCCCUGCUCUGAGAAGAGGAAAAAUGCGUAGGAAUGCUAAUAAUUUCCAAUUUUUUUUUAGCAAUGUUUCCUCUGAGUCCAGUUAGUGUGUAAAGACAGUACAUGUGUCACAAAUGCAGCCACUGUUCAUCCGCUGACUUGUAUGCCCACAGAAAUAACUACGUGGCCUAAACUACAUGGUCAAUAGCAGGAAACUGAACCUGAAGUUUUUGGAUAUUUCAUCCUCAAAGAGGGUGCAUAGGAUCCUGCUCUGGAUCAGCAUGCAAGUAGGGGAGGUUUAAUCUUUCCAUCCAGAUGUUUUCACCCGAAAAUUGCUCUCCUACUUCAGAGUGUGAGAGAGAGAGGAACAAAGAAAAAAAAUCCCUAUCAUUUUCACUAGUGGAACAUUUUCCAUUUUUCUCUAGCCUCUGUGAAGUGUGGCCAAUUUAGGUAGGAAAGUAAUUGUGUGAGAAUGCUUCCACCUUCCUCAUCUGUGUGGAUCUUCCAAGUUAAAAACUUCAACAACAGCAACAACAAUGGUGAGGAUCUGCAGCAUGCUGUGUAUUUAAGAUUACAUGUAAGCUAACCUUGAAAUGAUCAGAGGGUUAGGAAGAAAAGCUUCUCAAAUCUGGGACUAGUUUGGUUACAAAAAAUACAAUGGAAAUGGUGAAUGAAGGCUGUCACUUUCAUUGAUUGCUUGUGAGUUUUCCAGGAUCAUCUGGCUAGCCCAUGUUCAAGAGAAAAUGUUAAAUGAAAGGAUUCCACUAAGAGCCUUUUUAUGUUAUCUCCAGACAGUUGAUUCCACUCCUUCCGUGAGAAAUUUGUUCCAUGAUCUAAUUGUUCUUACUGAUAGGACUUGUGUCCUCUUGUGCUGCAAGUUGCUGAUAAACACUGUAAUUAUAUUCAUAAAAUAAUUCCUUGUAUCUGUCAAAAACAGCCAAUUUGAUCCUUUUCACAAUUAAAACAAGGCUGCAACAGAUAUGCAUUUUCAAAAUCUUAAUAGUUAUAAAAUAAAGCAUCUCAAACCCAGAGUUGUUUAUUUGAAUUAGGGAUGCAGAAGUUUGCUUUUUAUUAUGAAUAUCUUUUGUUUUGAAUUUCCAAAUCAAUAUACAAACUAAAACUCAGUUAUCCUUAAUGUUCCCUGAAUUUUGCAACUGAACUUUCCAAUCAAAAUAAUGUAUAAGAAGAAUUAAUGAUGGGAAAUGCAAACCCAAAUAUGCCUUUUAGUGAAAAAAAAAAGUUAAGUCAUGAAUACCCUCUUCCCAUCUUAUCUCAGACAGGAGGUCAAUCUAUUGAAACACCUAUGAAGACUUGAUUCAAGGGGAAGAAUUUCUGCACAUGGAGGAAUUAAAUGAUAUGACUACUGCCAAGUUAACUGAUACAGAAGUGGAAAAUCUGAACAGCAUUCUGGGAAGAAACAUUAAAACAAACCACAAUUUGAUAGCAGCAACAGCAGCAGCCACUCCAGUAGUGAGUGAGCGAAAGGAAGGCUAUUCUACAACUGAAAGUGGAGGAGUUCUGUGUGAUUCCAUUGUCAGAGAUAUAUCACUACCUAGUUAGUUUUGGACUGGCUGUUGGCAUGGACCUCCACAGGGGUGGAGAGCCAGUUAAAAUGGUCUGUCCCAGGUGAGUGAUGGACCCAGAAGUGCUUGGGAACUUUCUGCCUUGUUUGUCAGUGGUACUGUUGAAAUUCUGCCUUAUCUAUGGAAUAUGAAAAUGUUCUGGGCUAUUGACGCAAUUGCUCCUAAGGUUAUCACUACUAUGACAAUUUUUUUGUACAAUAAACAAUUGCAUACAAUGGACAGAUAGUUAAUUUUAUCCAGUUGUUUUAAUAUUAUAAUACUCUAUUGUUUGGGAUGUUUAUUGUUAUUAAGUUUCAAUUAUUUGCUAUCAUAUUGAUAACAUUAGCAAAUAAGGCAGUAUAUUACUAGGUUGCUUUUUAUCUUACCAUUACAUUAAAAAUUGCAGAAAUUAAAGCAUAAUAUUUUAAACACAUAAAGAUCACUGAGUGUUUUGAACAGAGGUGGAAAUUCAGCCCGGCUAUGUACAAUGUUAAGCUAAUCUCAAAAUGAUUUCAGUAUAAGUGAUAUGUUCAAGAUGUGUUCCAUCACAGAAGCCUAUUUCUGCUUCCACAAGAGACUUUUUUAUCAGGUCUGGAAAGAAAAAUGGUUAAAUGAAUAGCUAAGAACAGCACAUAUCAAGCACCUAGCAAAAACACAUGACAGAGACACUAAAAUGUUAUACUGGAGAUUUUCAAAAUGCUCCGAUUCCACAAUAAAGAUACAUUGGCAAUGAUUAAAGGAAUGGCUUCUCCCAUCUGUAGUUCAGUAUCUUCCUUGGACACCCUUGUCCAGGCGCCUCACCAGUGGAAAUACAAGCCUGGGGGCAGGCAGUGCUACCCAGGAAAGGGCCUUUGGCAGUGGCAGCAAUGUUCUGGAGCUCCCAAGAGAAGGUCCUUCCAAUCCUCAGCCAUGGAAUUUUUGGUGGUGUUUGAGCCUCUCUACAUUUGAAGGAUCCUCUUUCCUGAAUGGUGUUUCUUUGGCUAUUUUGGCUUGAUUUCUGUUGUACAAAUGCUUAAUCUGAGUAACUGCUGGUGGAUUGUUCUGCAGAUUAUUUUUUCAUUUUUAUUUUUAGAAGUAUUUUGAUUCAUGACCAAUCUCAGAAAUCCCUGGCCAAACCAGGAAUCUCUGCUUUUACUUCCAUGCAGUCACUAACAUAAAUGAGAAGGAUGUGGAAAGAAAGGAAUCAUCCUCAGGGAAUGUCUCAUGCCAAAAGAGAGGAAAUCAUGUAUUUUAAUCUGAUUUUCUUAUCUGAGCUUCCUAUAUGAAUGAUCUCUUUUCCAACCUGGUUCUUAGUCUGCCGGGUAAGGAACAAUGACAAACGUCUGUUGAUGUCCUCCUCUACAAAGCAUAAUGUAUAUGACACCACAGUAAAGGUGAGCACCUUCCUUGUCAUUAUGUAAUCAAACCCUGCUUCACAUCUCACACUCUAUGUGUACUCAAGAAAGCACUGCAUGUUCACCCAACAAACACAUGUCUUCUACUGCUUGCAUGUUAAAAUGUAUCACCUAGGAGGCUGAGAUUCCUAACAUAGACAUGUGUUAAGAUAUCUUUGCUAUUGUGUGAUCUGUCAAACAGCUCCCUGUUCACCCACCUGAAGCCUUCUCCUUAAUACCUUGCAGGGGAUUUUAAUGCUGCUGUCAAACUUCAAAUGAAGAUGCUAGAAUAUAUUUUGCAUCUUGUACGUGAGAAUGAAAUUGUAUUUGAAUGCAGACUUCAAAAGGGGGGGUAUUUAGCAUUUUAGGAUGGGUUUGUUUUCCAGUAGUGCUUUCCCACUAGCAUCAGAACCACCAGGAAAAGCCAAGAAGACUACUUUGGUCCACUACCCAAGUAAGGAGAUUCUCUGCCCCUCCCACAGGAGCAAAAUAUCUGAUGCUAUCUGUCCUUGUUUGCCACCAUCCUCACCAGGAUGGUGGGGAUCCUCCUCAGUGGUCCUCUGGAACCUUUGAAAUACAGCAGUUGCAACUCCCCUUCUUUCCCCAGCAGAGUGAGCAACGCAGCAACCUCUCCCACCCCAGCACAGACAGAAGCCACCAAAAACAACCUUAGGUUUGCUAUGUGUUAAUUUCUCCUUAUUGUCAGCUACCGUCAAUGCCUGUUCGGAGAAAGGUGGGCCAUAAAUAUUUCUAAAUAAAUAUUGCAAUGAUGGUGUUAUUGUUGACAAUGAAGUAUGUCCAAUUUGAUUUCGCAUCAGAGGUGUGGACUUCACAUGACUUGUCCUCGAGUGCAAGAUUUUUCUUUCAUAAAUAACUACUAUGGUGUUCAAAAGUUGAGGGCCUUUGCUUUCUACCCCUUUCCCUUCAUACUAAUACAAGGAAUGGAAGCCACAGAAGGAAGCAAAAGGUUAAUGGCCCCCUCUGCAUCCUCCUCCUGCCACAUUGCAGUCAAGGUCUAGCUUGGGUCCCUAGUACUGGUUAUUUGAGAAGGAAAUGUAUUGCAGUCAAGCACAAACCUCCAUGUGAAUGACUUGUCAUUUUUAUCACCUGCUUUUUGCAUUAGCACUUUUGAGAAUCCUCUUGGCAAAAUAUGACACCAAAUCCUCAUGCAUGCUUAUAUCCCUGUUUGAAGCAAAUUAAUAUCUUGUAGUGCCUCUCAAGCCAUUGACUCAACAUAAUCACUAGUGCCAAACUGAAAUUUCUUCAUGCUUUUCUUUUAACCAUCUGUGAGCAGGUUGGUGGCAAAUUGAAACCCUUCCAAAAAGGUUGUAGGAGGGGCAAAGAAUGUCUUCCAAAAGCAGUAUGGGGAAGGGCCCGUUGCUUCCCCUAACUGUCUGAGGCUGCUGAGGGGAGAUUGCCCUUUUAAACCUUAAAGCAAGGCCCCCAUGCUUCUUCCAGUGGUGUGGGAUGCUCUCAGUUGCUUUUUGCUACCCAGAGAUAUUAAAUGGCUAACCACACAUCUCGGAGUGGCUUGGGAGCAAUGUGACAUCACAUUGUGUUGUAUUUCUCAGAAGACAUUUUAGCAAGUGUGGGAGGCAGGAAGUGGCAGGGAGAGCCUCUCAGCUCUGUGAGUGAUGCAGGAACAUUGCUUUGAAGUUGAAAUAACAGCAAAGAAUCCACAUACAUUUCAUUUGGCUGAGGUGAACAGUAAUCCCAUCAGUAUGCAAACAAGAAAUCAUUGCACCCCAUCUUUGUGUGGGUGCAACAUCUUCAGGAACAUUAAGAAAGGAAUUAGGGUUCAACAAUCUUGAUCAACAAUAUGCCACUCAGGUAUUUGAGCACCAUAAACUUGUUGAUAUAGAGAAAGUAACUGAAACAUCUGAUGAAAACACAACUUGCCUUUUUAAUGUAACAGAAUCCUUAUCUUUCACUAAAAGAUCAGCCAGAUGCUAUAACAUAGAAGUCAAGGAAAAGACUCAAUUGAUAUAAUUUGAGUCCUGCAGAUAAUCUUUGUUCCAGGCUGACUGCUACUGAAGGGGCUGAACCAAAAGCUUGAACCUGACAAUACUUUUCCUCAUGACCUUAUUACCUUCAUCUCAUUGGUAAUUAUAUUUGUGUGAGAAAUACUGAAAAUCACCCUUUGGGAUAAAGGUCUUGGAAGUUUCAUUGAUAAACUAGGUGCGGGUCCCAGAGCUGGCAUAAAAUAUCUUGUUUAGGUUGUAAAAAUAUAUUAGCCUGUCAUGUUAUCUCCAUAAAUUUCUCUGCCACAGAAGGCAGGUAAGGUCCCCUGGAUCCCUAGACUCAUUACCACUUCUGCUUACUAUUACCAUUCAUCAGCUGCUUUGUCACACAUUGCAGGCUGAAUUUGGAAAAGCUGCAAUUCUGGAAGGGUAGAUAUCGAGUGAAUUAUUAGCUGUGACAGACAAACGUGUUUCCAAGCACUCUCUCUAAGUUCUUCUACACAGCAAAGCAACAAUUGUGUAGGUGUUUUCAGUGUGAUGCCAAGAGUGUCAUGGUGGAACUGGUGGAGUAAUCCAUUCUUCCACUGUGUGUUAAUUAUGAACUUCUGAAACUUUCUAUAACUUCAGCAAAUUUAGAUCCCAUUUCAAAACCUGCACCGUUUUUUAAUGGCAGAGUUUGUUAGUUUUGUUUGGGACAGGGGUGGGGAAGCUUUUCAGCUUAAGGGCCUUAUUGUCUCUGUGGAAAUCUGUUGGGGUCUGCAUACCAUCAGUGGGCACAACAGAAUCAAGCCUGACGGGAAUGCAACUGCCAUCUGUUCACUCACACACUUAUACCCAUUUACUCAGGAAAGAUGCGGGACAAGUGGAACCUUUGGUCAUUGCCACAUUAGAGUCCCCUUAGGCUGUGGCUGCCAGCUUUGCUCACUGCUCACGUUUCUCUUCUCUGGAGACCAUCAUUUCGAACCUCUUGCAAGCUGCUGCCAGGGUACCCCAGUGGAACCAGCUCCAAUCAGCCCUUGGCUUUGACUUCAAGGCUUUGGGCAGAGCUUCAGGAGGGUCAGGAUCCACCGAGCUUUAGUGCACUUUGGUGCACAAAACCCCCUGGAGUGGGUUUUGACUGAUUAUUAUUGAUUUUAAGCCUGCUCAGAAGUAAGCCAGACAAUUUUUCUGCAUGUCUUUUCAGAAGUACGAGGAGCUGAAUCACCAGCUGCUUCUUCCCCAGUGCCCACCCUACUCCCCCUUGCAGGGAAAAGCUCUUGUCAGUUGCUGCACCAUCCAUGGCCCACAAGAUGGCUGUUCCUAAACUUUGGUGUACAUGUCAUCCUCGUUAUACAGCAGCCAUUGUCCUUGUUGGACCUGGGAUGUAUAGAAUCUCAAAGCUAGUCUAUAAGCCUUUCAUGCUUCCUCCAUCAGGAUUGGGUUGAUGUUUUCAGAAACAAAUAAGAACUAAAAUAGCCAGGGGAUUCAGCUUCAGAAUUCCAGUAAUAAUAGGAUUUAUCCAAGUCACAAAUGCUGAGGAAAGCACAAGAAAUCUUUCACUACUAAGUUUCAGAAGUUAAGAUCACCGUUCAAUAGCAAAUGGCAUGACUCCUUAAGUAACAGGUGUUUAUCCAGACCAAGUCAUACUUAGAAUACUUUCAUUGGAAUGAAUGGGGUAGGUUAGUUAAUCAGAGGAGCAUAGCAAAGCUUUGAUACAACUCUGCUUUAUCCUGUGUAUCCUCAGUGUCUCACGUCUCUCUAUAUUUAUGCAUUUUGUAGAAAUGUCUAUUUUGUAUUCAAACUCUUGGCUUUGUUUUGAAAGCAAACCAUAGAGAAUAGUAAUAUGUUGGCUUAGAAAAGGAGAAUGGUUCAUUGUUACCACUUUUUUUCCCAAGGAAAAAUGUAACAUCCAACAUGUCCCCCAGUUGCUCAACAUCAUUUAAUGUAUACAGGAUUCAAUAUAUGUAUGAUUCCAGCAGUCAAUAUUCAGGCAAGGUCACUGGGGAUUCAACCACCCCUCUAACUUCAGAAAUUUCAACAGGAAUUGCCCAGACAUCUCAUUUUGACAGCUGUAAAAGAUAGACAUGCAUUUAUGUAUGACAAGAAGCCCAGGAAACUAAGAUUCUCAGUACGCUGAAACAGGUAGGUUUAGUCCUAAGAAGCAUGAGUAGAAGACUGUUUCAGAGAUGCAGAACCUCAAAUGCAGCCUGCUGGGGGGAGCAAUCUAAUGCUCUGGCAUUCCCAAAACAAUUGCAUCCCAUUUUGUGGCCCUGCCCCAUUCCCUUAACCAUCAGGUGGUUUCCUGCCUUCUGAAACUUUGAAAUGCCUGCUCUAAGGCUUACUUACUGGCAGUAAGAGCUUUAAGCUAAAUUGUGCUGGUCUUUUGGACUCCACUCAUUACUUUUGGCUCUGUCUCUUUUGCCUGAAUCCCCAUCCAACACUGGCAUAUUCCCACCAAAUUUUGGAAAGUGGUUCUGAACCUCUGCUUCAUCCAUGAGUGUUCUUCUGCAAAGUAUUGCUUGAAGGCUAGCCAAAGUCAUUCCAUAACCAAGUGCCUGGGGCUAUAUUACUCUGUAAGAAGGGAUUAUGCAUUUUCAUAUCUGGGGUUCACCCAGCUUCUCCUGGUAAAGAAAGCCCUGCUGGUUGGACCACAAGCCAUUUCCCAUUGAAAAGCAGGACGUAUUGGAUAGACCGCAAAUAAUCACCACUCCAAAGGAGGGCUUGCUUUGAACGAGGGGUUUGGGAAUUAGCAGCGGCUCUGCUUGCAAGCAGUAAGAUAGCUUUGUAAUAGGAAACGACAUACAGCCGAGCCAUUAGGGCUUGCUCUGAGCAUGUGUAAGGUAUUUAAGCUAUAAACUGAAUCAUAAAUAAAUAAGAUAUGGAAUCCAGAGGCGGAAAAUAGCAAAUGGUCUUGUGCAAAUGGGAAGAACAUGUGCAAAUGAAAGAACUUCUCUGGAUUUCAGUUUGUUUCUCUUGUGCAAAGUUCUUCUGCUGAGUGGGUAAUAGCCCUGACAUGAUUAGAAGGACUUUUCUGCCUAUGGCUGGGCUCCUCUGGCUCCAAACUACUCUGUGCUUUUUCUGAGCUCCUGCAUGACUGCAUUGAUAGCAUCUGUGCAGAACCAUCAUGUACCAACAUGAUCUCAGCCAAAAGGGAAUUUUUUUACAGUACUCUGGAGGAAGUACUUUUGGUCAAGGGCUGGCAGUGAGAAGAGGACAGGAAUUCGUAUACAUGAAGGGCCUGUUCAGGUGAAAGUAACUGUUCAUGUGAACACAGCCUUGCUAAAGCCAGAUGGAGGCUUAGCAGAUGACAUAUUACAGGGUAAGGAGAAAAAGUGAUCUGUAAAUACUCUUUCAGUAUCUGUGUUUCUGGCAACAUGAUAACUUUAAUUGUGGUUCAUUUAUAUCACAGAUCUCUGAUGAAUUAACUGGACCAACAGUGAAAACUGUGGAUCUGUAAAGUUGUAGACUGAGAAAGACAAAUUCUGAUGAGUUGGGCACUAAUGUAAACCCAGUGUUUUAUAAUCAGUGGGAGGGAACAAAUUUCCCUUCCUCUCACUCCUUCCCUCCCCAUUGGAUUAUGUCAAAGAUUAGCUGUUAUUUAAGGAACAUUGUACAAAGUUUUCCAAAGGAUUUUCCUUGUAAAUGAUUACCACAUGUUUGCUCUAUUUAAACAGCUUACAGGCUGGAUAUAUAAGAUUGAUUGAUGGCAUUGGUUCAAGUUGUUUUGUGACUCACUGAUUCUUUAGGAAGAAUUUAUUCAUGUUAUUUAUUGAAGGGCUAGCAAAAUACAACCCAUUGAUUAUAAUUUCAAGUUUCUGGUAGAAACAAUUGCAGAACAGAUCCAUAAAACCAGUCUAGUACAUGCAUGGGGUAGCUAUUUCUAUUGUACAGUGUCCAUAAAACUAUCCAGUGCUUCCUUCCUAAAAUGCAUCACUUUAGUUUGUGUUCCUAAGAAAAGCAACUAAUCCAUCCCUACAUGGACUACUAAAUGAAACUGAAAUUGAAUUGUGCUAGGUUACUUUUUCUAUUAAGGUUUAAUAUAGCAAGAGAAAGAUGGGUAAGAAUGGCCAGAAUGUUACGCUCCCCUUUAUACUUAAAAGAGUGAUGCAUCUCUCUGUUACGUUCUCCCAUCCUUCAGUGGCAAGUGGAUUCCCCUCAAACACAAGGAGGGGCAUACAGCAGGUGGAAUCUAUCACACAGGAAAAUUAACCUGACAAUUUUUAGGCAGCAAUGUAUUAGAGGAAAAUCUGUACUAAAGCAUGAAUUGUAUUAGUACAGAAUUUUCUGCUUAGGAUCUUUCUGCUUUCAUAAAGAAAAAAGCAAUAUAAGAACACAGGAAGCUGCAAACCAGAGAAGCAACCAACUAAAUCUUUGAUUUGAUGAUCAUGGUAAUAUAUUUUUUUAUUGUAUUGGUUAAGAAAUGACUUGAGGGUAAUCAGUAGCAAUCUUGGAAGGAACUAGGAGGAAGGAACAGUGAAUUUUAAAAUAGAUGGAGUAUAUAUUUAGUCAGAAUCCUGGAUCUGAAGGUUUUCACCUACAGGCAUGGAAGGAGCUUCCAUCUUCUGUUGGAGAAAGCUUCUUCCAUCACAUAAAGGGAACCAGUGUGUACUAAUCUUAUAGACCAUUCGAUUUUGGCACUAAUGAACCUCUGCUGUUCACUGUGUAGUGCAAACUGAGCCCUAACAAGUCUUGUGCUAUUGUUGAACCCUGAUGACUAUAACCUACCUUGAUGACCUAGAAUGAGACCUUUGGUAUUUGACAAAAUCUUUUGUUUUGUGCAAAGAAAAGUCAUAAGAGCAGAACUGUGCAAAACAACUUGCUAAGAAAGAAAAGGGAAGGUGAGCAUUGUAAACACUUCAGGAUGUAUAGCAGAUGAAUCAAAAUUGGUAGUGGAGCUGAUUAUUUUGGAUGGUUUGUUUUUACAUCUCAUUUAGCAUUUAGUGGAUGUGGAAAUAUGGAGAUGCCAAUAUGGUAGGUCUCUGAAAUAAGGUAAUAAAAUUAUUUCCAGCAAUUUAGGUAUGGAAAUACAUAAAGGGAAGCACUAUUGGUACAGAUUUGUAAGCAGUAAAGUUGCUCUGCACUACACUAUUAUAAGAAACUCUAGCGUAAUAAUUCUAACAUUUUAUGAUUUCAUUCUGGAAAAAUGUGGUUAUAAGAACAACUUCUGGCACAGAAGAAACAUUGGCUUUGUGUAGCUUCUAAAGAGAAUAGGGUAUGAGAUGAAUACCCCAUAGAAUACAUUCCAGAAGUCAAACUAGUAAAAGAACAACAACCGUACAAUCACUAAAAUAA